rnacentral:rRNA from 1 species
GGUGUCAACUGUGGGGUUGUGGAGUGGGUGGAUGGUCCUUGGCCAGAGAUUCUACAAAGGUGCCUAACAAGGAUUUGGGACAUGUACCAUGAGCAGAACUUGGGGAGGGUGAAGGACAAACAAGCCCAUGAGAAAGAGGUGGCCAAGCUAAAGAAGGAAAUUGAUUUCCUGUCAAACAACUAUAGCCAGUUGGUGGAAGAUGUAUCCAAGCUUUUUGACUAUCAAGAUGGCAAGAUGUCUCAUGACAUGGACUAUACCAGCCAGGCAAUCAAUGAACUAAAUAAGAUGAAGAAACAACUUGAGGAUCAGGCAAAGAUUGAGUUAAGUAUGGAAAAGCUGAAGCUUGCCAAGGAGCAAAGGUGCAUUCUUUAA